CAUGUUCUUCUUUCGGCUAUGUUCCCAUUCUGGCCAUGUUCCAGUGGUGUGCUACAGGGGUCCCCAACCACAGAGUCAUGGACCAGUACUGGUGAAACAUGAUUUUGUUCAUGCUUUGGCAGUGUUCUAAUAGAAUUUUCACUUGUUUAUUUACAAUUUGUCUUUAUGUUUUAAUAUGCCAAGUGGCUUAUUGCAUUUUAUUUUAUUCACAUUUGGCUUUUUUACUGCAGGAGCAUUGCGCAGCACAUCGUCCCAGGAAGCUGGAGUGAGCUCACUGGAAAAGACAUGCAGGAGAUCCCACGCCAGACCUCGGGGAAUGACUGUGGUGUUUUCAUGCUCAUGUACUCCCUCUGGCUCUGUACGGACACUACUUUUCACUACAGUGUG